CCUACGGGUGGCAGCAGUGGGGAAUAUUGCACAAUGGGGGAAACCCUGAUGCAGCAACACCGCGUGAGUGAAGAAGUAUUUCGGUAUGUAAAGCUCUAUCAGCAGGGAAGAAAAUGACAGUACCUGACUAAGAAGCCCCGGCUAACUACGUGCCAGCAGCCGCGGUAAUACGUAGGGGGCAAGCGUUAUCCGGAUUUACUGGGUGUAAAGGGAGCGUAGACGGCUGCGCAAGUCAGAAGUGAAAGCCCGGGGCUCAACCCCGGGACUGCUUUUGAAACUGUGUAGCUGGAGUGCAGGAGGGGUAAGUGGAAUUCCUAGUGUAGCGGUGAAAUGCGUAGAUAUUAGGAGGAACACCGGUGGCGAAGGCGGCUUACUGGACUGUAACUGACGUUGAGGCUCGAAAGCGUGGGGAGCAAACAGGAUUAGAUACCCGGGUAGUC
rnacentral:rRNA from 1 species